rnacentral:tRNA from 1 species
CGGGACGUAGCUUAGCUUGGUAGAGCGCCACACUGGGGGUGUGGAGGUCGCUGGUUCAAAUCCAGUCGUCCCGACCA